UUUUCGCUAUCACUGGGAGAUGGGCCUGCGGCGCAUUUAGCUAGUUGGGUGGGGUAAACGGCCUACCAAGGCGACGAUGCGUAGCCGACCUGAGAGGGGUGACCGGCCACACUGGGACUGAGACACGGCCCCAGGACUCCCUACGGGGAGGCAGCAGUUAGGGGAAUUUUUUCCCACAAAUGGGACGAAAAGUCCUGAUGGGAGCAACGCCGCCGUGGAACGAUGAAGGUCUU
rnacentral:rRNA from 1 species